CCGAAAGAAAGUUCAGAAACGGGAGUGUCCUCUUUACAAUAAUGAAUACAAGUAGCUACAUCACUAUUGUCUUCGAAAACACAUUCGUCAUCUCUCCCACACUCUCUGCAUAAGAAAUCACGCCUCCAAGAGAGCUCAAAUCCGUAACCCAGGGCCUGAUGAAUGCUGGAUAACGAAGACGAUAUGUUAGGUGAAAUCCCCGGAGCUGAUGACCAUGCCACAGUUUCAACUCUGCAACCGCCUGCUAAAUCUGAAUCUUGCAAUAUUUCACCUACGACAAGAUAGCUAAAACUAGAAUUGGUAGCAGUUGUAUUUGUGCUACAAAAACUUGUAGGAAUGUAUAGUGACGAGUUGAUUGGACCACGACAGUUGACAUAGUUGAUAUCGUUGUCAACACUAAGCCAUCCGAAGAUUAGGCUAGUCAUGGCAUCGUAACUUGCCCUGUGUUCUGGAAAAACAGAGCAAUUAUCGCUCUGAUUUUUAAGGCUGGGAUCGAGUAGCCUAAUUGAGAAGUUCGUAUAGUUAAUUUCCUGGACGUAGAAUUUUCGCGACUUGUAAUGGAAAAUGGUUUCAUUGUUCUGGCAAUCGAGUUCAUAUCCGGUCUUACCACAAUACUCGGGAUCAGACCUCAAUCCGAAGGGGAAUUUUAUAUCGCGAAUAUCGCCACAGGAAGAAGGGACACAUUGAGAGGUAUUCUGGGCUAUAGAGCUUGUUAUGAAUGUAACAAAUAGAAAAACAGUAGCAAAAAAUGAAUUUGUUAUGGACAUUUUGUCAAUUGAAUAUACCGAGGAAAAUAGAAAGACACUAAUGAUAAUUCUUUUUUUCUUGAUGUGUGGUUUAUAUAAGGAAUAAAAAUGACUUUUCUUGCAGCGUGUGCAAUUAAAAGUUAGGACUAUUGAUUUGUUAAAAUGAAGUUGAAUAUGUUAACAAAUGUUUUGCCCAGUCUUAUUCACACACGUUGCUUUCAGUAGCAUGACAGAGUGGGAUUAUGACAUUUUCAAGAUAAAUUGGGUGGGGGAAAUGAUAUUUUAGUUGCCAUUUAUUGAAAGUCAAAAAUAUUUAUUGAAAGAUUCAAGAGAGAAUGACUAAAAUGGUCCUUUAAAUCAGAAGGUUUUAUAAUAGUUCUUUUAAGUGCGCACUAAGCAAUUUAGGUCUUUUAAGUUUGUUAACGAGUUACUUUUUAAGCAUGAGUGCACCAAUUGCUAUACCGCCAUACACCAAUACAAAAACUGCCAAAGAAGAACAUAAAAACAAGUUAGAAAAUUUUUAUGACAUGAGUAUAACUUAUAAUGUCGAUGUAUAUAAGUUAAACUCUUACCAGAAUAGUACUUGACUUUGCAUCCGAAAGAAAGUUCAGAAACGGGAGUGUCCUCUUUACAAUAAUGAAUACAAGUAGCUACAUCACUAUUGUCUUCGAAAACACAUUCGUCAUCUCUCCCACACUCUCUGCAUAAGAAAUCACGCCUCCAAGAGAGCUCAAAUCCGUAACCCAGGGCCUGAUGAAUGCUGGAUAACGAAGACGAUAUGUUAGGUGAAAUCCCCGGAGCUGAUGACCAUGCCACAGUUUCAACUCUGCAACCGCCUGCUAAAUCUGAAUCUUGCAAUAUUUCACCUACGACAAGAUAGCUAAAACUAGAAUUGGUAGCAGUUGUAUUUGUGCUACAAAAACUUGUAGGAAUGUAUAGUGACGAGUUGAUUGGACCACGACAGUUGACAUAGUUGAUAUCGUUGUCAACACUAAGCCAUCCGAAGAUUAGGCUAGUCAUGGCAUCGUAACUUGCCCUGUGUUCUGGAAAAACAGAGCAAUUAUCGCUCUGAUUUUUAAGGCUGGGAUCGAGUAGCCUAAUUGAGAAGUUCGUAUAGUUAAUUUCCUGGACGUAGAAUUUUCGCGACUUGUAAUGGAAAAUGGUUUCAUUGUUCUGGCAAUCGAGUUCAUAUCCGGUCUUACCACAAUACUCGGGAUCAGACCUCAAUCCGAAGGGGAAUUUUAUAUCGCGAAUAUCGCCACAGGAAGAAGGGACACAUUGAGAG
rnacentral:lncRNA from 1 species